rnacentral:lncRNA from 1 species
AACAAGGAUGAAUAAUCAAUGAAAAAGGAAUGAAGAGGUUUAUCCAUGCAAGCUUCAAACCAAAGCCAAGGAUGUCGAUCCUUCCAGGGGAGUCCAAAGUUCUCCCUUAUUUUUCUCCCUUUAUUUUGAUUUUCAAAAGUUUGCAAUUUUUUAAGUGGGGGUGGGCAAUUGCUUGCAUGUUUAGUCUAAACUUGGAGGUUCAAAUUUUGCCCAAAUUUCAAAAUUUCUAAAAAAAAUUUCCUUACAAUAAUGAGCACUAUACCUUCUUAGAUUACUUAGAUCUUGCAUAAAAAGCAUGACUAGCAACCCUUGAUCACUGAGCUUGGGUUUGUGAUGUAAAAUUCUGAUUGUUGAUGAGUAUAUGUGCUGAAAUUUGAGAAUAAGCUGCCGUGUUUUUUGGUUUAAGCCCAUUUUUAGCGAUAUCUUAUGGAGAUGGGAAUGCAUGAUUGAGAAAAUGGUAUGUGUGUUGUGAAUGCUUGAUUGCAUGCAUAUAAUAAAUAAGUGCAUGGAUACUUUUCUAGCUUUGUCUUCCUUUGUUUCUUUGCCAUGACUUACCUAUGAUGCGCUUAGUCCAAACCUAGCCUAGAUAGAGUUAAAAAAGGAUAGGAGGUACUCUUUAGAAAUUGAGAUGGUUUUAACAAAUUUGUCUUGUCAAACAUGAGUUUGGAGCCUCUUGUCUAGCCACAAUGAACUAAAUCCCUUUAGAAAGGGUGGGCAUUAACAAAUCUUGUUGUCACUUCGAAGGGAGCAGUCAAACUUAGAAACUAAGUGUAGAACCAUAGAAAGGUUACCCCAUCGGUUAUUGUGUGCGUACCAAAGAAAGAAAAGAGAGACUUGCAAAUGUAAAACUUAAGACAGCGAGACAAUUAAGAGUUAAAAAAAACAAAGAACAUAUGCAUUAUACAUCAGAAAAAUCCCAUAAAAAAAUGAAGGGAAACUUCACUUUUGGCCUAACCAAAAGCAGACCACCUACUCUUAGCGUUCUAGACAUAGCAUUGAGUUUGAUGAGGGCUUUGAAAAGAGGAGGAAUCCUCCCCGUUCCACACUAGGGGAAAAACGAGACUUGUCACUCCGAAGGGAGCAGUCAAACUUAGCAUUGAGUUCAAGGUAUCCUUCUUAGAUUCUUGAAUCAUGACUACAUUAGGACUACAAUGAGCACCAUUGUUAUGGAUCAAAAUAAAGUUCCAAAUGUUCAUCCAAUCGUGCCAUCAAAUGUGUCAGAAGGAAAUAUUCAUGUUAGCAUUGGAAAGACGUCAAUAGCAGUGGAAAGAAUUGAAGAAAAAAGUGAAACAAAAGUGAAUGGAGACAGGAAAAUGAAAUUAUCCCAGAAAAGCCAACAAUGUGUAGCAAAUGGUACAAACAAGAGUUGAGAAAAGAUGGGGCAUGAUUUCAUGGUUUCAAAUGGGAAGUCAUCAUGUGUAUUUUAAGGGGAAAAUAUUUUGUUUUUCUAGUUCCUUUCCAGAAGAUCGGGUAUGUUGUAAAGAUUCUUUCCUCUUAUUUCAAACAGCAUGAUUAAUGUACACUAUGCACUUUAGGUUUUAGAUGUAUUAUUGUGGUAAAUAGCAUCCAUUUUUUAAAAAAAUAACAAAGUAGAAGCCCUGUAUUCAAUAUCAGUUGACUUGAGUAAAGAGUAGUUCAUUACUGCUCCAACUCCAUGAUUUUAAAAGCAAGUCAAUGGUGCAGAUAGGAUUCUAGAUCUACCGUUUCUUUAACACUCCGAUCCUGUUAAGAGAAUGAUAUAAAAAAAAUGGAAAAAUUACCUUUUUAGUCCCCAAUUUUAUAGAAAUAGGUUUAUUGGUCCUUGAGUUUUCAAAAUGUACUCUUUUAAUCCUUGAGUGCUUAAUGUUAUACUGGAGACUCUCAAAACCAAUUUUUUAGAAGAAGUUAUUCUACCUUAAAAAUGUAUAAAGUUAUAUUGGGGACUUUCUAAACCAAUUUUUAUAAACUUAGAGACUAAAAAGGUGCAUGACCAAAAUGGGUCUAUUUUUCUAAACCUGGAGACUAAAAAUGUACAUUUUUAAAACUCAAGAACCAAACACACAUGUUCUUCAAAACCAAAACUUGGGGAGUAAUUUUCCUAAAAAAUUUAAGAUAGUGCCAAAUGUCAUUUAGCAUGUGAAAUAAUUACGAUUUUCAUUUUUCAUUUGAGGAAUAUGCCUUCCAAUUUUUUUUACAUUUUAUUUUUGAACACUAACAAACAUGCAUCAACUUUUCACUUCCAUAAUCCCAAAUAUUUUUUAUGUAUAUUUUGAGAUCAUAUUUGAAAUUCUCCUACUAGAGAGCUGAAAUUGUUGAAUGGAUAAAUCAAGGGGGAGGCGAGGUUGUUGAAGAUCACAUGAAGCAGAAAGUGCACUUCACUGUUGAAUGUCAUGGUGGGAUACCAAGGAGUACAGACGUUCAUAGUACUUAUGUGUCAAGUCAUCGGGUUCGAUCAUGUUUAGAG